GGUUGAGGGAGGGUGGAAAGGAAAGCUGGCGUCGGUGGAAAAGUCGAGGAAAGUGAGCAGCCCCGAGGAGGUUAAACGUUUGGAACAACGAUUGUCUCACAGCUCACACCAACCAUGUAGCUUCUUCCCUAUCUUACAUAACAAUUAGAAGUCGUUUAAGGCAAAGGCGUCCUGCCGAUCUAUGGACAAGA